UACGUAGGAGGCAAGCGUUGUCCGGAAUUACUGGGCGUAAAGCGCGUGUAGGUGGUGGGACAAGUCUGCUGUGAAAGCGCCUGGCUUAACCGGGCGAGGUCGGCGGAAACUGUCGCACUCGAGGACGGUAGAGGGGGGUGGAAUUCCGCGUGUAGCAGUGAAAUGCGUAGAUAGUCGGGAGGAACACCUAUGGCGAAGGCAGCCUCGCUGGGACGUUACUGACGCUGAGACGCGAAAGCGUGGGGGAGCAAACAGG
rnacentral:rRNA from 1 species